rnacentral:rRNA from 1 species
AUUGAACGCUGGCGGCAUGCUUUACACAUGCAAGUCGAACGGUAACAGGCCGCAAGGUGCUGACGAGUGGCGAACGGGUGAGUAAUGCAUCGGAACGUGCCCAGUCGUGGGGGAUAACGCAGCGAAAGCUGUGCUAAUACCGCAUACGAUCUAUGGAUGAAAGCGGGGGACCGUAAGGCCUCGCGCGAUUGGAGCGGCCGAUGUCAGAUUAGGUAGUUGGUGGGGUAAAGGCUCACCAAGCCAACGAUCUGUAGCUGGUCUGAGAGGACGACCAGCCACACUGGGACUGAGACACGGCGCAGACUCCUACGGGAGGCAGCAGUGGGGAAUUUUGGACAAUGGGCGCAAGCCUGAUCCAGCAAUGCCGCGUGCAGGAAGAAGGCCUUCGGGUUGUAAACUGCUUUUGUACGGAACGAAACGGCGAGCUCUAAUACAGUUUGCUAAUGACGGUACCGUAAGAAUAAGCACCGGCUAACUACGUGCCAGCCGCCGCCGUAACAC